CCUACGGGAGGCAGCAGUGAGGAAUAUUGGUCAAUGGCCGAGAGGCUGAACCAGCCAAGUCGCGUGAGGGAUGACGGCCCUACGGGUUGUAAACCUCUUUUGUCGGGGAGCAAAGAGAGUCACGUGUGGCUCAUUGAGUGUACCCGACGAACAAGCAUCGGCUAACUCCGUGCCAGCAGCCGCGGUAAUACGGAGGAUGCGAGCGUUAUCCGGAUUUAUUGGGUUUAAAGGGUGCGCAGGCGGAGGUGCAAGUCAGUGGUCAGAUUGCGGGGCUCAACCCCGUACUGCCGUUGAAACUGCAUCCCUUGAGUGCGCGAGAAGUAGGCGGGAUGCGUGGUGUAGCGAUGAGAUGCAUAGAUAUCACGCAGGACUACGAUUGCGAGGGCAGCAUACCGGCGCGCAACUGACGCUCAUGCACGAAAGCGUGGGUAUCGAGCAGGAUUAGAUACCCUGGUAGUC
rnacentral:rRNA from 1 species